rnacentral:misc_RNA from 1 species
UUUCCGUAGGUGAACCUGCGGAAGGAUCAUUACCGAGUGCAGGUCUGCCCCCGGGCAGGCCUAACCUCCCACCCGUGAAUACCUGACCAACGUUGCUUCGGCGGUGCGCCCCCCCCGGGGGUAGCCGCCGGAGACCACACCGAACCUCCUGUCUUUAGUGUUGUCUGAGCUUGAUAGCAAACCUAUUAAAACUUUCAACAAUGGAUCUCUUGGUUCCG